rnacentral:lncRNA from 1 species
ACCGGCAGGCACCGCAGGCCAUCGAUCGUCAGAAAGACACGGAGUUUGGCCAGAAUUAUCAGAGAAGAGUUUGGCCAGAGGGGUCAGAGAAGAGUCCAGGGGAAAACCAUCACCCCUGUGACUCCGGAAUCUUCUGAGAGCUACUUCUACUUAAUAAAACCUUGCACUCAUUCUCCAAGCCCACAUGUGAUCCGAUUCAUCCAGUACACCAAGUGUCCAGGGACAUCUAGAUGAUAGAAGUUCCUUCAGAUGGGUCCCUGGUGUGAGGGUGUCCUGUAUCAGACUGCCUAUUGAAGUUCAACCUGUGGUUCAAGACAGGAUCUCACUCAGAAUACUACUUUCAUUCAGGCUGGAGUGCAGUGGCAUGAUCUUAGCUCUCUGCAACUUCCAGCCUCCUGGGCUCAAGCGAUUCUCCUGUCUCAGGCUCCGGAGUAGCUGGGACUACAGGCAUGCGCCACAACACCAGGAAAAAACUUCUAGGGGAAUUGGAUGUGAAAAGUGUCCCUGGUCCUAUGAUCACAAAGAUUUGCAGCAAGGUCAAGACACAGAAGUAACAAAUGCUUCCAGCCUCAGCAAAUGGUGCCCCAUCUUCUGCAUGGGGAUACCCAUUAUUCCAAGCCUGUUUUCGGGGAAAGUGAUAGACGAUGGUGGUGCCCAGGGUGCAGGGAACAAAGGGGACUGGACAGAUGGAAAAUACGCAUUGGGGUUAUAAAAUACAAUUCUGCAGAGGUCCUUUUCCCCAGACACAACCUAGAAAAUGGCAAUGAAAAAGAUAAGGAAAAUUAAAGAGAUGAAAUCCAAGAUCAUUAGAAAGCUGUACAUACUGAUACAGACACCCAGGAACCUCAAAAUCACAGGAUACAAAGGGAGAAAAGCAGUAA